CGGUCAUUUUGAUCAAAUCUUGUUUCAUCUCAGAAACUUCAGAGAGCAAGUCCGGACUUGCCAGGACAGGAACUUCAUUAACCAGUAUGUAGGUGUCAUUUUGACCAGCCUGGGGAUCGAGUCAUCAGCUACAGAAGGGAAACUGAAUAUGUGAGGCAAAGAGUGACCGUACACUUGAGGUGGUUACAGCAAUGGUACAGCCAUUAACAAGCGACAAGGCCAUAUGAUUACCUCUUCCUCCUGUUCUUGAUCUGACUCUGAUUCCUGGCCACCCCAAGACGCCAUGCAAGAUGGAGAAAGAGGGCAGGAAGAGUAGAGAGUAUUUAGAAGAAAAGACAAGACUAAAUACCCUGACAAUAAACAUCAACAGGCAAGCAUACAGUUAGCAUUCACAUAUUUUUUCUUACUAACAGUUUGCAGAAGACAAGCACAAAAAUUAAAGAAGAUUGAUUUAAAUGCAAACAUCUAUAGAGUCAAAAGACAAAAGAACCAAAAUUAUAAAUAUACUAAUCUAUUAGACAAAAGAACGAAUAUUAUAAAUGUAUUCAUUUCAGAUAUAGGUUACCAGCAGUCACAAAGUGUGACAUUUCGUGGAUUUGAUGGCAUAUGUCUACAGAAAUGGUGAUGAUAAUAUUUCAGCAUAAUAUCUUGAUGCUUUUGAACUGUGGUAUUGGAGAAGACUCUUGAGAGUCCCUUGGACAGCAAGGAGAUCCAACCAGUCCAUCCUAAAGGAAAUCAGUCCUGAAUAUUUAUUGGAAGGACUGAUGCUUAAACUGAAACUCCAAUACUUUGGCCACCUGAUACGAAGAACUGGCUCAUUGGAAAAGACCCUCACUCUGGGAAAGAUUGAAGGCGAGAGGAGAAGGGGAUGACAGAGGAUGAGAUGGUUGGAUGACAUCACCGACUCAAUGGACAUGUGUUUGAGCAAACUCCGGGAGCUGGUGAAGGACAGGGAAGCCUGGCGUGCUGCAGUCCAUGGGGUCGCAAAGAGUCAGACACAGCUGAGCAACUGAACUGACUAUCUCAGCCAUUACAGGUAUUGAUUAAACAUGUAAAAGCCACAAAUGAACAUGCAUUGAAGAUAUUUUCAAUACACAGGCAAUACUUAGGAGUUCUCUUGUAAUAAAGAGCUACUCUGUUCUAAAAUAUAUCUAAACUCUACCAUGUUUGUCAAUGUUUUCUUUUUGUUUUAGUUACUAAAUGGAGAGCUGUCCGGGACCAUCAUAGAAUUAAUAACUGUGCUGGAUAUAUCUUGACUUAGAUAUAAAAAGGAAUAAUGAACUAAAUGCUUUCUUUUAUAGCAUACUGGAAGCUCAUUUGAAUCAGAGACAAAGCUCAUUCAUCUUUACACAUCACUCAGAUGGACUGCCCCAGCAUUUACAUAUUUCUCUGUGGUUCUUAUUUGGCAUUCUGCUUCAGUGAUUCAAAAGUACUCAGCACUACAACCCCCAAAGUACAUUCUUUACCACUGGAAUGCUAUUAGAUAACAGUUAUUUGGAUGCAUGUCCCUAUCACUGUAUUUUAAUUCUUGUAAUAACAUGUAAAUUUACAUAUGCAGAUUGUGGUAUUUCAUUUUGAUCAUUAAAUAAGAACUUAGUGUUAAAUACGAUGCUACAUAGUUUUCUCCAUGUGACCGAGUUCUAAUUUGUAAGAAUAAUUAAUCAUGAAAAAUGGUGAGUGAAAAUAAACAUAGAAAAUGUUCUGCUUCACAGAGUUAAGAUUUAGGAUUUUAAAUAUGUUUCCACCUCUCCUCC